GUUAUAUGGUCAAGUGAAGAAGCGCAUACGGUGGAUGCCUUGGCAGUCAGAGGCGAUGAAAGACGUGGUAGCCUGCGAAAAGCUUCGGGGAGUCGGCAAACAGACUGUGAUCCGGAGAUAUCUGAAUGGGGGAACCCAGCCAUCAUAAGAUGGUUAUCUUGUACUGAAUACAUAGGUGCAAGAGGCGAACCAGGGGAACUGAAACAUCUAAGUACCCUGAGGAAAAGAAAUCAACCGAGAUUCCCUUAGUAGUGGCGAGCGAACGGGGACCAGCCCUUAAGUUGUAUUGAGAUUAGCGGAACGUUCUGGAAAGGACGGCCAUAGUGGGUGAUAGCCCUGUACGCGAAAAUCCCUUUGCAAUGAAAUCGAGUAGGACGGGGCACGAGAAACCUUGUCUGAAUAUGGGGGGACCAUCCUCCAAGGCUAAAUACUACUGACUGACCGAUAGUGAACCAGUACCGUGAGGGAAAGGCGAAAAGAACCGCGGAGAGCGGAGUGAAAUAGAUCCUGAAACCGUAUGCGUACAAGCAGUGGGAGCCCACUUUGUUGGGUGACUGCGUACCUUUUGUAUAAUGGGUCAGCGACUUAUUUUCAGUGGCGAGCUUAACCGAAUAGGGGAGGCGUAGCGAAAGCGAGUCUUAAUAGGGCGUCUAGUCGCUGGGAAUAGACCCGAAACCGGGCGAUCUAUCCAUGGGCAGGUUGAAGGUUGGGUAACACUAACUGGAGGACCGAACCGACUACCGUUGAAAAGUUAGCGGAUGACCUGUGGAUCGGAGUGAAAGGCUAAUCAAGCUCGGAGAUAGCUGGUUCUCCUCGAAAGCUAUUUAGGUAGCGCCUCAUGUAUCACUGUAGGGGGUAGAGCACUGUUUCGGCUAGGGGGUCAUCCCGACUUACCAAACCGAUGCAAACUCCGAAUACCUACAAGUGCCGAGCAUGGGAGACACACGGCGGGUGCUAACGUCCGUCGUGAAAAGGGAAACAACCCAGACCGUCAGCUAAGGUCCCAAAGUCAUGGUUAAGUGGGAAACGAUGUGGGAAGGCUUAGACAGCUAGGAGGUUGGCUUAGAAGCAGCCACCCUUUAAAGAAAGCGUAAUAGCUCACUAGUCGAGUCGGCCUGCGCGGAAGAUGUAACGGGGCUCAAACCAUGCACCGAAGCUACGGGUAUCAUCUUUUGAUGAUGCGGUAGAGGAGCGUUCUGUAAGCCUGUGAAGGUGAGUUGAGAAGCUUGCUGGAGGUAUCAGAAGUGCGAAUGCUGACAUGAGUAACGACAAUGGGUGUGAAAAACACCCACGCCGAAAGACCAAGGUUUCCUGCGCAACGUUAAUCGACGCAGGGUUAGUCGGUCCCUAAGGCGAGGCUGAAAAGCGUAGUCGAUGGAAAACAGGUUAAUAUUCCUGUACUUCUGGUUAUUGCGAUGGAGGGACGGAGAAGGCUAGGCCAGCCUGGCGUUGGUAGUCCAGGUUUAAGGUGGUAGGCUGAGAUCUUAGGUAAAUCCGGGAUCUUAAGGCCGAGAGCUGAUGACGAGUGUUCUUUUAGAACACGAAGUGGUUGAUGCCAUGCUUCCAAGAAAAGCUUCUAAGCUUCAGGUAACCAGGAACCGUACCCCAAACCGACACAGGUGGUUGGGUAGAGAAUACCAAGGCGCUUGAGAGAACUCGGGUGAAGGAACUAGGCAAAAUGGCACCGUAACUUCGGGAGAAGGUGCGCCGGUGGAGGUGAAGCAUUUACUGCGUAAGCCCCUGCCGGUCGAAGAUACCAGGCCGCUGCGACUGUUUAUUAAAAACACAGCACUCUGCAAACACGAAAGUGGACGUAUAGGGUGUGACGCCUGCCCGGUGCCGGAAGGUUAAUUGAUGGGGUUAGCGCAAGCGAAGCUCUUGAUCGAAGCCCCGGUAAACGGCGGCCGUAACUAUAACGGUCCUAAGGUAGCGAAAUUCCUUGUCGGGUAAGUUCCGACCUGCACGAAUGGCGUAACGAUGGCGGCGCUGUCUCCACCCGAGACUCAGUGAAAUUGAAAUCGCUGUGAAGAUGCAGUGUAUCCGCGGCUAGACGGAAAGACCCCGUGAACCUUUACUAUAGCUUUGCACUGGACUUUGAAUUUGCUUGUGUAGGAUAGGUGGGAGGCUUUGAAGCGUGGACGCCAGUCUGCGUGGAGCCAACCUUGAAAUACCACCCUGGCAACUUUGAGGUUCUAACUCAGGUCCGUUAUCCGGAUCGAGGACAGUGUAUGGUGGGUAGUUUGACUGGGGCGGUCUCCUCCUAAAGAGUAACGGAGGAGUACGAAGGUGCGCUCAGACCGGUCGGAAAUCGGUCGUAGAGUAUAAAGGCAAAAGCGCGCUUGACUGCGAGACAGACACGUCGAGCAGGUACGAAAGUAGGUCUUAGUGAUCCGGUGGUUCUGUAUGGAAGGGCCAUCGCUCAACGGAUAAAAGGUACUCCGGGGAUAACAGGCUGAUACCGCCCAAGAGUUCAUAUCGACGGCGGUGUUUGGCACCUCGAUGUCGGCUCAUCACAUCCUGGGGCUGAAGCCGGUCCCAAGGGUAUGGCUGUUCGCCAUUUAAAGUGGUACGCGAGCUGGGUUUAGAACGUCGUGAGACAGUUCGGUCCCUAUCUGCCGUGGACGUUUGAGAUUUGAGAGGGGCUGCUCCUAGUACGAGAGGACCGGAGUGGACGAACCUCUGGUGUUCCGGUUGUCACGCCAGUGGCAUUGCCGGGUAGCUAUGUUCGGAAAAGAUAACCGCUGAAAGCAUCUAAGCGGGAAACUUGCCUCAAGAUGAGAUCUCACUGGAACCUUGAGUUCCCUAAAGGGCCGUCGAAGACUACGACGUUGAUAGGUUGGGUGUGUAAGCGCUGUGAGGCGUUGAGCUAACCAAUACUAAUUGCCCGUGAGGCUUGACCAUAUAACACCCAAGCAAUU
rnacentral:rRNA from 2 species